rnacentral:lncRNA from 1 species
AUGAUUAAAGUGGCUGGAGUAGAGUCAGUGUCAUUGACAGUGUGUUGGCAGAGCCACUCAAUGUUAUGGUGGGCUGUUUAACAGUCUGAUGGCUUGAGAUAGAAGCUGUUGUGGAGUACCGUUCCUGUCCAGGCAGAACUAUAAGCCUUGUGUUAUGUUCCUGUCUAGCAGAACUAUAAGCCCUGUGUUAAUGUUCUGUCUAGGCAGAACUAUAAGCCUUCUGUUAAGUUCCUGUCUAGGCAGAACUAUAAGUUUGUUAAUGUUCCUGUCCAGGCAGAACUAUAAGCCUUGUGUUAAUGUUCCUGUCCAGGCAGAACUCUAAGCCUUGUGUUAAUGUUCCUGUCCAGGCAGAACUUAAGCUUCUGUUAAUGUUCCUGUCCAGGCAGAACUAUAAGCCUUGUGUUAAUGUUCCUGUCCAGGCAGAACUAUAGCCUUGUGUUAAUGUUCCUGUCCAGCGCAGACUAUAAGCCUUGUGUUAAUGUUCCUGUCCGGCAGCAGAAUAUAAGCCUUGUGUUCAUGGUCCUUGUGGGGCAGAGGUAGGGCAGGCAGUGACUUUGCAACCAAAUUAUUUUACUCUUCUCAGUCACAUAUAGACUUGUAUGGUCAUACAAGGUGCCACUGGUGGAAUCAGAGUAGCCUAAAAUAUUUACAUGGCCCCCAGUUGCAUUUCCACCAAAUUACUUUUCUAUGCAAAUUCAAUAUAGUUGCACAAAUAGGCUGAAGUGAACAAAAUAACCAUAGACAUGAAGUUGACAUUAGCUUAUUAGUAGCAUAAUCAUUGUAUUUCUAUGGUUGCAGCCCUAAAACAUGCAAUUGCAUUAAUCAAAUGAAUCAGAUCCAAUGAGUUACCACCCGUAGAGGCGGGGUACCUCUGGGUUCAUUAAUUAAGUAAGAAAACUGUUUAGAAAUAGUGCUCAUGUUACAGAGCACUUCUAAUAAAGCUUCAAAUGACACCAAUUAUUACUUUGUAGCACCUACAGACUUAGUCUUAAAAGAGGAAGUCAAAAUGUCACAAUACAAUACAAACUUAAUCAUUUUCAGCAAGUCAUGAAAAAUGAUUCAUGAAUAAGUUUAAAUUCCUAUGAAUGUGUUAUAACAUCCAAAGAGUGUGCCACUUUACCAAUCGUGGUGGAAAAUAAUUCAUGAAUCAGUUACUAGUGCUGGUAAACACUAAUGCCUUUUCUCUGAUUGUACCCAAUACAUGUAUAAGUAUGUUKACACAUAAAGGCUUCAUAACAUAAAUAUGUGUGUAACAGAGACAUUUGGCAGAGACAUUGUAGCUUGCUUAUAACAGUUCAUGUGGAGUGGGUGUUAUAAUGUUUAUGUCAUUACUGCAUAAGACUACAUAAAACUAUGUAGGCUUAUAAA